GAAUUUUCAUGAGCGCCAAUAACGGAAGAGCAACGUGUCUCAUGGCCUAUGUGUGCGACUUCCAUUGCACUUUAGGAGGGGUGCUGACCUAAGGUCUCCCCAAGCGGGAGAGCCUACGUCAUAAUUUGUGCCAGUGGGGCCUGCGUUUGCGCGGUCCCUGU
rfam:Ricinus communis cultivar Hale ctg_1100012360651, whole genome shotgun sequence.